UGACAUUCAAGGAUGUGGCUGUGGAUUUCACCAAAGAGGAGUGGCUCCUCUUGGACGAUUCUCAGAAAGAGCUAUACAAGGAGGUCAUACUGGAGAAUGUCCAGAACCUGCUUUCUGUGGGACUUCCAAUUUCUAGAGAAGAUUUGAGCUCCCAUGUAUAGGAAGGGGAACUACCAGGGAUGGUAAAACAAAAAGGUCCAAAGAACUCCAGAGCACAGUGCCUUUUUUGAGUGGGCAUGCCGUGCUGGAUGAUCCUGUGCCAAUGUCUCCCAUGUCUCACAAUCAAUACCAGAGUUCUUC